UACGUAGGGGGCAAGCGUUAUCCGGAAUUACUGGGUGUAAAGGGAGCGUAGACGGUGAUGUAAGUCUGGAGUGAAAGGCGGGGGCCCAACCCCCGGACUGCUCUGGAAACUAUGUGACUGGAGUGCAGGAGAGGUGAGCGGAAUUCCUAGUGUAGCGGUGAAAUGCGUAGAUAUUAGGAGGAACACCAGUGGCGAAGGCGGCUCACUGGACUGUAACUGACGUUGAGGCUCGAAAGCGUGGGGAGCAAACGGG
rnacentral:rRNA from 1 species